UAUAUUUUGGUGAAUGAUGCACAAAAGUUUUUGAUACUUUAGAAAUAGUUUAAUUCUAUUAAAUAUAAAGU
rnacentral:tRNA from 1 species